rnacentral:rRNA from 1 species
GUGGGGAAUAUUGGACAAUGGGGGGAACCCUGAUCCAGCCAUGUCGCGUGUGUGAAGAAGGCCUUUUGGUUGUAAAGCACUUUAAGCGAGGAGGAGGCUACCGAGAUUAAUACUCUUGGAUAGUGGACGUUACUCGCAGAAUAAGCACCGGCUAACUCUGUGCCAGCAGCCGCGGUAAUACAGAGGGUGCAAGCGUUAAUCGGAUUUACUGGGCGUAAAGCGCGCGUAGGUGGCCAAUUAAGUCAAAUGUGAAAUCCCCGAGCGUAACUUGGGAAUUGCAUUCGAUACUGGUUGGCUAGAGUAUGGGAGAGGAUGGUAGAAUUCCAGGUGUAGCGGUGAAAUGCGUAGAGAUCUGGAGGAAUACCGAUGGCGAAGGCAGCCAUCUGGCCUAAUACUGACACUGAGGUGCGAAAGCAUGGGGAGCAAACAGGAUUAGAAACCCGGGUAGUCC